GGAUCGAUAGCUCAGUGGCAGAGCGGUGGGGCGUUUACCCAUGCGGCCCGGGUUCGAUCCCCGGUCGAUGUA